ensembl:lncRNA
GGGAGAGAAGGAGAAUGGCGUGUGCAUGAUCGUGAUAAUAAGUGGUAAUAACUCAAGUUUAGACUUAUAGUGGUAAAUGUGCUUUUGGACUGCAUGGACAGUGAGUCUUAUGGACAUUUUACGGCAAGUAGCUUGUAAGUUAUGUCCAACUACUGAGGAGAACUCGGUUAGCGUUCUCAACGAGGAGACAACGGAAAGCUAGUCAGCUCGACUCAGCAAGAAGAGUUUCCAACGACUUUGCCAGCGAGUAGCCUGCUCGGCCGCCCGGAGUGCAUUGUCUGGAACGACUUGUGUGGAUCCUCGGCUUUGCUUUGCCGUCUUCACCAGCCCGCCAGAACAGCGUGCUCUCCUGUUUAAGGUCUCUCCGCUCCCCAGCAACACUACAGGCCUGCGUCUCUUCCCAAGACAACUGAAUCAUAUAAUUGAAAGGAUGUGGCCAGAUGUUAAUAACAGGGUAAACCACCCUCUGAAAAAGGGCUCUCAUCCACCUUGUAGACCAGGAGGAACUCAACAUGGAGGACAACUUGACACGGUAUUGUGUGUCCACGCUUACCUGUCAGGUGGCUCAGAUUGGACUUGACCGGAUGGUGCAGUCCUGGAAUGCACACAGGAUCCAAGGCAAGGGCAUCCCAGAUCAACUGACUCUGGGUGGAUGCCCAAAGAAAGCGCCAGCAGAUUGUCUGCCAGAGGCUGCAGGAGCUGCACACACUUACCUGCAGGAAGUGGGGUCCUCUUUGACACAAGUGUCAAUGUUUGGGAGAAAUCCAUUCUCCACAGCUGAAAACCAGACAGUAGCUGAACAUGAAUUUGCACAGCAGUACAGCGAC